UGACUCUAUAACUUCU
rnacentral:sRNA from 1 species